rnacentral:rRNA from 1 species
UACGGAGGGUGCGAGCGUUGUCCGGAAUCACUGGGCGUAAAGGGCGCGUAGGCGGCCUGGUAAGUAGGGGGUGAAAUCCUGCGGCUUAACCGCAGGGCUGCCUUCUAAACUGUCAGGCUCGAGCACAGUAGAGGCAGGUGGAAUUCCCGGUGUAGCGGUGGAAUGCGUAGAGAUCAGGAAGAACACCGGUGGCGAAAGCGCUUUGCUAGGCCGCAACUGACACUGAGGGACGAAAGCUAGGGGAGCGAAUGGG